GGGGGGAGAGAAGAGAGAGGAUGUAAGAUGAAGCCUGUUUGGGGGAAUUUCCAGGGCAGAUGUGGGGGGCGGCACUCACCACUUCACUUCCUUUACCCGUCAUAACAGAAAAGUAUGUACAGGCAUUAGACGGGGCGGGGGGGUGUCUUUAACUAUUUUUGUGAGGACUCCCAGCCGUGGGUCUUCAGUGCCACAGCUGGGCCUGACCGCGUGUGCACCACCACCACCCCAUCAAUUUGUCAUGCUCUCCUCAUCCUGAUCUGUAUCAUCUCAUCCAAUGUCAGCCUGUUAACCAGGUCGUCCAGCCGCUCCUCCCAAGGCAAUGUGGGGUCCCUGAAAGGGAAGUCCUGGCCCAUGCACAGCCCAGCCACCAGCAGUAGGACAAUGAUGUGGAGAAAGGCCAUCGCUUUCGGUACAGGAGACAGGAAACAAAUAUGAGCACCACCAAGGACAACAAUCACACCCUCCAAAGAAGGACCCCUUUUCCUUGAAUGGCAUCGUGGAUGAGAACACAAAAUGGUGGUGCGCUGAAAGUCGACAGAACCAUCCGUCCUGUGCUGGAUUACAGUCCAGCCGCCUCCACUGGUCUCCAUGUCGCAGAGGACCUGCAAGGAGUGCAGUACAUUAAUGGAAGGGAAACUUCACAAAUGUCCAGAAGCUGCAGCUGGGCCUGAGGUUCCUCAGCUGUGCCCUAAGGGACAACAACUCUUCCAAUUCUGCACCAUCCAUUAACACCUCAUAUUCAGAGCUGGACAAAGAACCCACAGAUUGUUUUUGGAACACAGCCUGGCUUCAUUUAAAGAUGCUUUGUCUCUCUGCUCACUGAGUCAAGCUCCACUUCUGAUGAGAUAAUUACACCGCAAGAAUGUACACUCCAAAGUCAAUUGCGCUUGGAUCGCUCUGCUUUUCUCCAGCGCACUCCUGUCCACAACCACCCCCUCUGCCAGCCAGCUGGAUAAGAGAAAGAAACAAGAGUUUCUGUUUCCAAAAUUGGCACCUGGGAUAUGACUGCACAAGAAAUCCUGCUUCAGUGAUAAAGCAGGAGCUCAGGAAGAAAAUUCCCCCAAAGCAGGGACAAUUGGCAUGGGAGAACUUAACAUUAAUGUUUAGCCUUCAUAAUAGAUGCAUGAACCAUGACAAAAGCAUAAACCCUAAACAUCAGGGAAGCAGAUUGAAGCAAAACAUUAGGUGAAUGUUCUUGAUAGCAAGGGGCUGUUAACAAAUGGCUAAAGGGGGUUCUCCUUCCUUGAGGUAUUUAAGCAGAGGCUGGAUGGCUAUCUCCCAGGGAUGCUGUACAGUCAUAGGUAAAGGUAAAGGGACCCCUGACCAUUAGGUCCAGUCGUGGCCGACUCUGGGGUUGUGGCGCUCAUCUCGCUUUAUUGGCCGAGGGAGCCGGCGUACAGUCACGUGGCCAGCAUGACUAAGCCGCUUCUGGUGAACCAGAGCAGCGCAUGGAAACGCCGUUUACCUUCCCGCCGGAGCGGUACCUAUUUAUCUACUUGCACUUUGAUGUGCUUUCGAACUGCUAGGUUGGCAGAAGCAGGGACCGAGCAACGGGAGCUCACCCCGUCGUGGGGAUUCGAACCGCCAACCUUCUGAUGGGCAAGUCCUAGGCUCUGUGGUUUAACCCACAGUGCCCCCCAUGUCCCCUACAGUUGUACAGUCAUACCUUGGGUUAAAUGUGCUUCAGGUUGAGCGUUUUCAAGUUACGCUCCGUGUCAACCUGGAAGUAACGGAGCACGUUACUUCCGGGAAUCACCGCUCGCGCAUGCGCAGACGCUCAAAAUGACGUCACGCACUUGCGCGGAAGCGGCAAAACGCGACCCGCACAGUCAUGUCUUACAUUCUACUCAGGAUGCAAACGGGGCUCCGGAACAGAUCCCGUUCGCAUCCAGAGGUACCACUGUACUUACAUCACACAUUGAGCAAAGAUAGCCUGUUUCAGGCCAGGUCCCAGCUAGAGGGGGUCCAUAAUAAACCCAAGUUUAAACCCCAUUUAAGGCUAGCUCACCUAACAUACAUAUAUUCCCUUAAUCCUUAAAAUAGCCCUGGCAGGUCACCUGAGACCUCACAGUUGAUUUUACCCAGCAGCUGCACGGCCCACAACUCACAUUCAACAGCCACUGCAAAACACACUCGUCACAUCUGCUUUGUCUAGACGUAGGACUUCCCUUUAACAUCCCAACCCUUUUUUCUUACUCAAAACCUGUUCUC